AUUCAGUCAGCCUUUGAGUUAAAAUCAAGUGUAGUAUAGGUUACCAGUUUAACAUCUGAUGACAAGAUCUUAAAUGCAUUUUUGGAGCUGGGAGACAAAAGAAGCUUGCUGUUCACUCCACGCAUCAACCUGGUAUUGCAGUACCUCCAGGAAUGAGCCCCCGAC
rnacentral:snRNA from 15 species